GGACAAGGAGCUAAUUUAAACAGCCUCUAGAACAAUUUCACAUGCUUCCUCUCCAAGCUCUUUCAACCAAACUGAAUCUUUUUCACAUCUAUUGCUCUAUGUUUAGCCAAGAUUUUAAUCACACCUUAAUAGAGUUCUUAACUUCCGAAAAGGCAUAAGGGGACAAUCCACAACCAGAAAGAGAAUAUUGCUAUUAUCACUAAUUUAUGUUUUUGUUUGUGUUUUAGAUUUUAUUUAUUUACUCAUGAGAAACACAAAGAUAGAGACAUAGGCAGAGGGAGAAACAGGCUCCCUGGGGGAAGCCUGAUGUGGGACUCUAACCACAGGACCCCGAGAUCAUGACCUGAGCCAAAGGCAGGUAGAUGUUCAACCACUGAGCCACCCAGGUGCCUCAGGAUCACUAAUAUAUGUUUAGAAGAUCAUCUAGAUGUGAAUGCCCUGCCAGAAUGAAGAGAAAAAGCACACAGUGAUGGUUCUUUAUAACAAAGUAACUAGGAUAUUGAUAUAUGUAUGGAUAACCCUGAGGAAACAAUCAAGUGUGUCAAGAGUCUUCCCUUGCAUGAUAAUCACACACACAGGCCCACACACACAAUUCUUCAAGGCACAGUGGACAACUUCGCUUUCCAGCUGGAACCCAUGAGAGACAGGAGAAUACAACUACCACUCCCAGAAGCUUGUAGUUUGGGAAGCAGCAAAGGCCUCUGCAGCAGGCUGGGAAAUGUGAAGGCAUCUGCUGGUGCCACUCCUGCCUGGGCCCUUCUCCACUGGAGAAAGUCUAUGUGCUGUGCUGGAGAGAAGGGGCAAUUGUGGAAGGUGUCGGUAAUGCCCAACCUGCAAUGGGAUGCAUGGGCACAGAGGCUGGACCCAAGGUCACCAACCCAGGAACAUUACCCUGGAGGACAAGCAUGGUGGAGGAGAAGAAAUCAAACCAACUAA
rnacentral:lncRNA from 1 species